rnacentral:rRNA from 1 species
UACGGGGGGGGCAAGCGUUGUUCGGAAUUACUGGGCGUAAAGGGCUCGUAGGCGGCCAACUAAGUCAGACGUGAAAUCCCUCGGCUUAACCGGGGAACUGCAUCUGAUACUGGAUGGCUUGAGAUUGGGAGAGGGAUGCGGAAUUCCAGGUGUAGCGGUGAAAUGCGUAGAUAUCUGAAGGAACACCGGUGGCGAAGGCGGCAUCCUGGACCAACACUGACGCUGAGGAGCGAAAGCCAGGGGAGCAAACGGG